UACGAAGGGGGCUAGCGUUGUUCGGAAUCACUGGGCGUAAAGGGCGCGUAGGCGGCUUUAUAAGUCUGGGGUGAAAGCCUGUGGCUCAACCACAGAAUUGCCUUCGAUACUGUAGAGCUUGAGACCGGAAGAGGUAAGUGGAACUGCGAGUGUAGAGGUGAAAUUCGUAGAUAUUCGCAAGAACACCAGUGGCGAAGGCGGCUUACUGGUCCGGUUCUGACGCUGAGGCGCGAAAGCGUGGGGAGCAAACAGG
rnacentral:rRNA from 1 species